GCAUAUCAAUAAGCGGAGGAAAAGAAACUAACAAGGAUUCCCCUAGUAACUGCGAGUGAAGCGGGAACAGCUCAAGCUUAAAAUCUCCAAGUGGUAAGACAUUUGGCGAGUUGUAGCUUAUGGAGGUGGGUUGAUCUGUGGGUGUAGGACGGUAAAAGUGCUUUUGAAUAAGCCAUCAGAGAGGGUGAAAAUCCCGUAUUUGACCGUGUUUACAUCUAUAAUGAGAACCAUUUUCUUUGAGUCGGGUUGUUUGGGAAUGCAGCCCUAAUUAGGAGGUAAAUUUCUUCUAAAGCUAAAUAUAAGCAAGAGACCGAUAGCAAACAAGUACCGUGAGAGAAAGAUGAAAAGCACUUUGAAAAGAGAGUGAAAAGUACGUGAAAUUGUUGAAAGGGAACCGGUUAGUAGCCAAGCAUCACAGUUGGAGCGGGUUAAACCGGUUUUAGCAGUGGGGUCAACAUCGGUUGUUGGGGCCUGAAAGGAKAAUUUGGUUUGUUGGCGGGGUAAGGUAGGGUGAUUAGUGUUGGGUUAGUUUACUAGUCCAACUAUAUAGCUAAUUACUUGUUAUAGACCCCAUAAACAGACUUUCUACGCCUUGGGGCUUCGACGACCGAGGAACGCAGUGUAGGUCAGUGUAAAAGCUGGCUGAGUGGAAUGUGGCUCGGGUAUUGUUUGGUUACAUAGGUUAGACAGCUUGCUGACUAGCUUGUUGAUUGGAUAUACCCUGGAGCUGCAUUCUGACUAAAAAGCACUAAGGAUGUUGGCGAAAAGGCACUAAUCGACCCGUCUUGAAACACGGACC
rnacentral:rRNA from 1 species